rnacentral:rRNA from 1 species
UACAGAGGGUGCGAGCGUUAAUCGGAUUUACUGGGCGUAAAGGGUGCGUAGGUGGUUGCGUAAGUGAGAUGUGAAAUCCCCGGGCUAACCUGGGAACUGCGUCUUAAUCUGCGUAGCUGGAGUACAUGAGAGGGUAGUGGAAUUUCCGGUGUAGCGGUGAAAUGCGUAGAUAUCGGAAGGAACACCAGUGGCGAAGGCGGCUACCUGGCAUGAUACUGACACUGAGGCACGAGAGCGUGGGGAGCAAACAGGAUU